UCACACUGGCUUAACCAAAGCGCUGUCCCGUCGUACAAGUACCUUGUCAGGCAGGUCCUCUAACCACAGAUGUAGGCCUGCCGGUUGAGAGGCACCAAAAGCUACAAGAGCAUGCACCAAGUUAUUACAUGCCUUGGGGACAAAAUAAAACGUGCAAGUACUGAAACUUAGACGAGCGAAGUCCCAAAUCUCUCUCAAUAAAAUUCCUUCUGGUGCCCUGACAUAAACUGAACUUUGGAGCGCUUUUAUCAGUGUCUGGCAAUUAGACUCGACCUCCACAUAUUUCAUACCCCAUCAGGAGGCUGCUUGCAGAGCAGCACUGCAUGCCGUCGCUUCCGCUUGAAGAGCACUUGCUACAUGUCGAAGGCGCCCCGCUCCAGAGCCUCUCACAUCUCCCGGCAAAUCCUGUAUGACGAAGCCCCAGCCACCACCACCACCAGUGCCCUCAGGUGCAGAGAACGCCCCAUCACAGUUGAUUUUACAAGAUGGUAAAUCUGACAUGAUACUUCUUUGAAAAAAGUGUAUCUAUUCCCAAUGAAAAUCUGUCAUACAUGAAGCUUAAUUAACUUAGUAAGAAUUUUUUGAAAUUUUACAAGGUUCAUUGUCGAAGAGCAAAAACUAUGCAAGCAUAUAAAAGUUCG
rnacentral:lncRNA from 1 species